GCCCGCUUGGCACAGCGGUAAUGCGCCUCACUAGUAUCUGUAGAUCCUACUGAGCUUUCGCAAUGAGGAGAUGACUGGUUCGACUCCAGUAGUGGGCA
rnacentral:tRNA from 1 species